UAGAAACAUGUGAAAAAUACUUUUUCUAAUAAAUACAAUGUAUAUUUGUGCUUUAAUUCUUAGCUUUUCAGUCAUUUUUAUCACAGAAUUAUUGGCACCAAAGAAAUCUCUGUACCAAGAAGUUUUUUGAUACGUUUCAUUUUGUAAUUCAGAUAAAUAUAUGAAUAUUGUAGGUACAUGUUUAUUUUCAGCCCGCUAUCCAGACAGCUUAGCUAUGAACACAGAUUAUACAUUUGAAGGGAAGUUGUUGUUUUUUUCAGAUAUGAGUUGGUAAUCUAAUACAUGAAGAAUAUAAUAAUAGUUUAUUGCUCUUUGAUUCAAUAAUCCUAGUUGGUUAUUUAUUUGAUUUGAUAUUGUUACUUAACCAAUGUAAGACUAGUUUGAUAUCACAUAAAAAUUUCACAACUAUUACAAAUAUAUCCAUUCUCAAUUUUAUAUAUUACAAAUGUAUAAAAUGUACACAAUGAUGAAGUGUUUAUGAAAAACAUUCAUCAGUCGUGUUUUUAUCAGUCUUUGUGUAGACAUAUCAGGGAGUUAAAAAGAUUUAUAUUAUGUUGAUGUAACUAUGUAUUAUUUUGUUCUUUUAAAUUUUAGAGAAAAUGGAUCAGGUCUGGCUGCCAAGGAAAGCACUGAUGCUGAAAAUGUACUUUUUCUUUCUUUCUUUUUUUCUUUCUUUUUUUUUAAGUUUAAUGAUUUUAGGUUUUACAUUUUUCUGGAUUUUGAAAAGUAAUGCAUGGUAGUGCAUUGUCAUUUUUGUAAACAAUAUUCAUAUAAAACUCUUGUAAAAAUGUCUCAGAAAUUUGGCAGAUACAUGUUGAUCAUUGUUAUUACAAAUACAUACAAACUAAUAACAUGAAAGAAUGGUAUGAAUAAUACAAACAUGAAAUAAAAGUGUUAACAGGAAUCGAAUUAUGAAUAAUACAAACAUGACAUAAAAAGUGUUAACAGGAAUCGAAUUAUGAAUAAUACAAACAUGACAUAAAAAUGUUAACAGGAAUCGAAUUAUGAAUAAUAUUGACAGUACAACGUUAACAAAUCAAACCAAAACCCAACUCCUCUGAGACAUGUAGCCUGACUUGUUACAGGCACAAACUUUUCUCUUUACCUACAUGUAUCUAGACCAUCUUAUUUUGUAAAAGUAAAACAUAGUGAAAAACCUGAACAGUCCAAUAACCAACAUGAGCAACAACUUACACAUUAAAAUAUAAGACUGUAUUCCUCCAAUGCAAACAUUUAUCAAUCGAAAGCAGCACAAGGAAAGUAACUUAAGAAGCCAAAGUUGUUGGUUGAAUGCUGUCAAUCAAGAAAUAAAAAAAGAACACUUUAAUAAGGGCUAUUCCAUUAAAAUGCAUGUGGGAGGGUAGGACAUGAAGGAAGGGACUUUCAAAAUAUCCCUACAACCUAGAACCAUUUUUUAGAUAAUUUUGCAUAAUGGUAAUAGACACAUACUGAAAAAAGACCCAUGACCCACAUUCAAUAAUUAAACUUCCCUUCCUACCCUCCCACAUACAUUUUAAUGGAAUAGCCCUAAACAAGUUUCAUGAUAUCCAUCAAUAAUUUAAUUGAAAUUGGUAGUAUUUGUAAGACUCCAUAGUUAACCAGGUACUUGAAUGACAAACAGCCAAUGAGCAAA